CCUACGGGAGGCAGCAGUGAGGAAUAUUGGUCAAUGGGCGUAAGCCUGAACCAGCCAAGUCGCGUGAGGGAUGAAGGUUCUAUGGAUCGUAAACCUCUUUUGUAAGGGAAUAAAGUGUGGGACGUGUCCUGUUUUGUAUGUACCUUAUGAAUAAGCAUCGGCUAACUCCGUGCCAGCAGCCGCGGUAAUACGGAGGAUCCGAUCGUUAUCCGGAUUUAUUGGGUUUAAAGGGUGCGUAGGCGGCCUUUUAAGUCAGGGGUGAAAGUCUGUGGCUCAACCAUAGAAUUGCCUUUGAAACUGGGAGGCUUGAGUAUGUUUGAGGCAGGCGGAAUGCGUGGUGUAGCGGUGAAAUGCUUAGAUAUCACGCAGAACCCCGAUUGCGAAGGCAGCCUGCCAAGCCAUGACUGACGCUGAUGCACGAAAGCGUGGGGAUCAAACAGGAUUAGAUACCCUAGUAGUC
rnacentral:rRNA from 1 species